rnacentral:rRNA from 1 species
ACGUACACUCCUACAGGAGGCAGCAGUGGGGAAUAUUGGACAAUGGGCGCAAGCCUGAUCCAGCCAUGCCGCGUGAGUGAUGAAGGCCCUAGGGUUGUAAAGCUCUUUCACCGGUGAAGAUAAUGACGGUAACCGGAGAAGAAGCCCCGGCUAACUUCGUGCCAGCAGCCGCGGUAAUACGAAGGGGGCUAGCGUUGUUCGGAUUUACUGGGCGUAAAGCGCACGUAGGCGGACUAUUAAGUCAGGGGUGAAAUCCCGGGGCUCAACCCCGGAACUGCCUUUGAUACUGGUAGUCUUGAGUUCGAGAGAGGUGAGUGGAAUUCCGAGUGUAGAGGUGAAAUUCGUAGAUAUUCGGAGGAACACCAGUGGCGAAGGCGGCUCACUGGCUCGAUACUGACGCUGAGGUGCGAAAGCGUGGGGAGCAAACAGGAUUAGAAACCCGAGUAGUCCCA